CUAAAGAGAGUAACAGUGGUAAGAGUGAUACUGAAAUGAUUGCUAUCACCCUGAAAUUCUUCUUCAGUGCCUGUGGCCACAAAGCUGGCUUCUGUUUACACCAUUCCUUGGAGAUGCCCUGCUGCACCCUUUUUCAGAGGCGAAUGGGUCAUUCUAGAGCUUCCCUAGUAAUCCAGCAUUAGCAGAAGCAUUGUCCUCAUGAGCUAUCACCACCUCUUGAUGACCAAAACCAGCCAACAAUGAGGGAUGUUUUGGCUCCAGGAAUGAGAAAAGCUGAUGUGACCUAAAUCAGGCUUUCCUCCUGCUCCCAUCCUUCCAGCUUGAGUAAACAGCAGUGGAUGUGACUGAGCGCACAUAUGGUACCUCAUCAACGCCUCUUCUCUGCUCCAGGUUGUAUUCUACCUUCCCCAGAGGUUCCCCAUGAGAGCUUGAUUACAUCGAUGAAGGACUUUGUACAGUGAAGCAGAGAACCCGGCGAGAAGAGAAUUAAACUUCACUCAUGCAUCAGUGAAAGAGGAACUGUCUGUCUGAUGACUUCUGGCAGUGCUGGCAGGCUUUUGCCAGAGCUGGUGAAGACAUUUAAGUUUCACUUCACUGUGGGAACUUUGUCUGUGGCUUGAGAUUGCCAUCACUAGCAAAAGUUAUUUUUCAAUGCAAAGCUUUUGGCGUCAUGUGCUGAAGCAUAGCAAAAUUUAAUUUGUUCUUUUUUUUUUUUUAAAUUAUUAUUUUUUUUUCUCCUGUAAUUGCAGCCCUGUCUGGGGAAAUGGAAGGCUUCUGGAGGGAAGGAUUCUGUGCCUUUGCACAGCUCUAGUUCUAGCACUGGUUGCGUCUGAUUGCAGAGCAGGAAGUGGGCAUUUUCAUUCUCCUGUCUCUGCUCCUCUUUUGUAGCUCUGCAGGUUGAGGGAAGAGGAAGUCCCUGGUUUACACUUCCUUUCAGGUGCAGCCUUUUGUAGCAUGACUCAUUCUGUGCUCAUCUUUGACAUGUAACUUUGCACUCACCAUCCCCUCUCCUCCUGCAGCCCUUCCAUGCCUGGCUCCUUCUGGACACCCAAAGCUGCACAAUGAGCCUGCCCUCCCACAAGGCAUGAAGUGCAUCCAGCUGCAUCCCGCUGGCGUCGCUGUUUAGUCCCAUACAUUUGCACUGCUUUAUAUCAUACGUCCUUGCCUUUUGUCAUCUUUUAAACUCUCUCUGACCCCUUACAAUGCUUAUUGCUACCUCAUGCGAGUUUCUGGUAGACUCUGGAAGUCUCUGAUGCUGGAUUAAGCAGGAAGGGUUGGCAUUAUUAGCAUA